AUACCAAAAGUGUUUUUUUAGAGGGAGGUUUUUUAAAUAACCUUUACCAACUUGGGCGAUUUGGGAGAAUAAAUGACCACACUCCACAGUGGGCUAUAUCACUAAACAUAUAGUUCACUAUUUUGUGGCCUGCAUG